rnacentral:rRNA from 1 species
GAUGAACGCUGGCGGCGUGCCUAAUACAUGCAAGUCGAGCGAACAGACGAGGAGCUUGCUCCUCUGACGUUAGCGGCGGACGGGUGAGUAACACGUGGAUAACCUACCUAUAAGACUGGGAUAACUUCGGGAAACCGGAGCUAAUACCGGAUAAUAUAUUGAACCGCAUGGUUCAAUAGUGAAAGACGGUUUUGCUGUCACUUAUAGAUGGAUCCGAGCCGAAUUAGCUAGUUGGUAAGGUAACGGCUUACCAAGGCAACGAUGCGUAGCCGACCUGAGAGGAUGAUCGGCCACACUGGAACUGAGACACGGUCCAGACUCCUACGGGAGGCAGCAGUAGGGAAUCUUCCGCAAUGGGCGAAAGCCUGACGGAGCAACGCCGCGUGAGUGAUGAAGGUCUUCGGAUCGUAAAACUCUGUUAUUAGGGAAGAACAAAUGUGUAAGUAACUAUGCACGUCUUGACGGUACCUAAUCAGAAAGCCACGGCUAACUACGUG